CCUACGGGAUGCAGCAGUGAGGAAUAUUGGUCAAUGGACGAGAGUCUGAACCAGCCAAGUAGCGUGAAGGAUGACUGCCCUAUGGGUUGUAAACUUCUUUUAUAUGGGAAUAAAAUGUUCCACGUGUGGGAUUUUGUAUGUACCAUAUGAAUAAGGAUCGGCUAACUCCGUGCCAGCAGCCGCGGUAAUACGGAGGAUCCGAGCGUUAUCCGGAUUUAUUGGGUUUAAAGGGAGCGUAGGUGGAUUGUUAAGUCAGUUGUGAAAGUUUGCGGCUCAACCGUAAAAUUGCAGUUGAAACUGGCAGGCUUGAGUACAGUAGAGGUGGGCGGAAUUCGUGGUGUAGCGGUGAAAUGCUUAGAUAUCACGAAGAACUCCGAUUGCGAAGGCAGCUCACUGGACUGCAACUGACGCUGAGGCUCGAAAGUGUGGGUAUCAAACAGGAUUAGAUACCCGGGUAGUC
rnacentral:rRNA from 1 species